ensembl:rRNA 5S_rRNA 5S ribosomal RNA
GUCAGCAGCUGUACCACUUGCCAUUUAGAUCAGGAAAUCCAUCUGGAGCUAUGCAGGUUUGGGUCUGGCCAGUACUUAGGUUGGAGACCACCUAGGAUAGCCGGGUUGCUGCUGUUA